rnacentral:rRNA from 1 species
CAUGCAAGUCGAACGAGGAUAUAUCCUUCGGGAUAUAAGCCGAGUGGCACAAGGGUGAGCAAUGCAUAGAUUACCUACCUUUAGGAUAAGGGCAACUUUGUGAAAACGGAGCUAAUACUUAAUAAUACAAAAGAAAAUAAUUUUCUUUUGUCAAAGGGAGGGUAGCAAUACCUUUCGCCUAGAGAGGGGUUUAUGUCCUAUCAGCUUGUUGGUGGGGUAAUAGCCUACCAAGGCGAAGACGGGUAGCCGGUUUAAGAGGAUGGUCGGCCACACUGGGACUGAGACACUGCCCAGACUUCUACGGAAGGCUGCAGUCGAGAAUCUUUCGCAAUGCCCGAAAGGGUGACGAAGCGACGUCGCGUGGGUGAAGAAGGCCUUCGGGUUGUAAAGCCCUGUCAGGAGUUAUGAAAUGUAAGUGCGCUAAUAACGUGCUUAUUUGACAAAGGCUCCAAAGGAAGCCACGGCUAACUCUGUGCCAGCAGCCGCGGUAAUACAGAGGUGGCGAGCGUUGUUCGGAAUUAUUGGGCGUAAAGAGCACGUAGGCGGGUUUGCAAGUCAGAUGUGAAAGCCUUCUGUUCAACGGUAGAAUUGCAUCUGAAACUGCUAAUCUUGAGUAUAGGAGGGGAGAAUGGAACUUCUGGUGGAGCGGUGAAAUGCGUUGAUAUCAGAAGGAACGCCGGCGGCGAAAGCGAUUCUCUGGCCUAUUACUGACACUCAGUGUGCGAAAGCUAGGGGAGCAAACGGGAUUAGAUACCCCGGUAGUCCUAGCCGUAAACGAUGGGCACUAAGUAGAGGGGAUUACCUAUAUUCUCUCUGCCGUAGCUAACGCAUUAAGUGCCCCGCCUGGGGAGUACGGGCCGCAAGGCUAAAACUCAAAAGAAUUGACGGGGGGCUCGCACAAGCGGUGGAGCAUGUGGCUUAAUUCGAUGCAACGCGAAAAACCUUACCGGGGCUUGACAUGAUAGAAGUAGGAACCUGAAAGGGGGACGAACGGUAUCCAGUCCGUAGCUAUUACAGGUGUUGCAUGGCUGUCGUCAGCUCGUGUCGUGAGACGUUGGGUUAAGUCCCCUAACGAGCGAAACCCUUGUUUUUAGUUACCAGCGGGUUAUGCCGGGUACUCUAGAAAGACUGCCGUCGUCAAGACGGAGGAAGGUGGGGAUGACGUCAAGUCAUCAUGGCCCUUAUGCCCCGGGCUGCACACGUGCUACAAUGGUCGGUACAGACGGAAGCGAAGCUGAGAGGUGAAGCGAAUCCUAAAAAGCCGAUCUCAGGUCGGAUUGGAGGCUGAAAUUCGCCUACAUGAAGUUGGGAAUCGCUAGUAAUCGCGGAUCAGCAAUGUCGCGGUGAAUAUGUUUCCCGAGCCUUGUACACACCGCCCGUCAAGCCACCCAAGCAGGAUGCACCCGAAAACAUUAUAUCUAACCAGGGCAACUUGGAGGAAAAUGUUGAAGGAGUGUUUUGUGAGGAGGACUAAGUCGUAACAAGGUAGUCGUAGGAGAACCUGCGGCUGGAUCACCUCCUUUCU